UCCCUGGUGGCUCAGAUGGUAAAGCGUCCGCCCGCCAUGCGGGAGACCCGGAUUCGAUCCCUGGUUUGGGAA
rfam:TPA: Bos taurus chromosome 6, whole genome shotgun sequence.